UACGUAGGGGGCAAGCGUUGUCCGGAUUCAUUGGGCGUAAAGAGCUCGUAGGCGGCUUGGCAAGUCGGGUGUGAAAACUUCAGGCUCAACCUGGAGCGGCCACUCGAUACUGCCAUGGCUAGAGUCCGGUAGGGGACCACGGAAUUCCUGGUGUAGCGGUGAAAUGCGCAGAUAUCAGGAGGAACACCGGUGGCGAAGGCGGGAUCCUGGGCCAGUACUGACGCUGAGGAGCGAAAGCGUGGGGAGCAAACAGG
rnacentral:rRNA from 1 species